rnacentral:rRNA from 1 species
AUGAUUAGUCUAUUGAUGUACCUGAUGGGAUUCUAUAGUCUUAAUGAAUCCCUUCACCAGGACAUCGCCAAAUACCAGUCCCAUUUCUUUUGGGCCGGCAAGGAUGGCAAGCAGAAAUACCAUAUGGUGAAAUGGUCAAAAAUUUGCAAACCCAAAGACCAGGCUGGUCUUGGCAUGAUUUCAUAUAAACGCAUGAACAUUGCCUUGUUGUCCAAGUGGCUAUGGCAGAUCACAUCUGGGGAAAGCGGCCUGUGGUUGGACAUUAUUCGCGCAAAAUACUUGCAUGGUCAACCAUUGGCAUUUGCAUAGCGGCUUGGGGGCUCCCAUUUCUGGCAAACAAUCAUCCAACUCAUGCUGGCCCUGCGUCUCAGAUCAUCGAUCGCUAUAGGUCGUGGGAAUUCCAUGCUCUUCUGGUUGGACCGGUGGUCUGGCGACCGUCCCUUCGCCAUUCAAUUCCGGUCGUUGUUUCAUAUUUGUGCCGAACCACUCUUGAUGGUAGCCUCGGUCUUAUCUGACUAA